rnacentral:tRNA from 1 species
GCGGCUGUGGUGUAGUGGUAACACGCCAGCUUCCCAAGCUUGAAAUACGAGUUCGAUUCUCGUCAGCCGCU